rnacentral:rRNA from 1 species
CCUACGGGGGGCUGCAGUCGAGAAUAUUCCUCAAUGGACGAAAGUCUGAAGGAGCGACGCCGCGUGACCGAUGAAGUCCCUCGGGAUGUAAAGGUCUUUUCUAAAGGAAGAAACAAUGACGGUACUUUAGGAAUAAGAGGUUGCUAACUCUGUGCCAGCAGCAGCGGUAAUACAGAGACCUCGAGCGUUAUCCGGAUUGAUUGGGUGUAAAGCGUGCGCAGGCGGCUUAUUAAGCUAAUGGUCAAAUUUUGCGGCUCAACCGCAGAACUGCCAUUGGAACUGAUAGGCUAGAGUAUGGAAGAGGCUAGCGGAAUUGCCGGUGUAACGGUAAAAUGUGUUAAUAUCGGCAAGAACACCAGAGGCGAAAGCGGCUAGCUGGUACAUUACUGACGCUGAUGCACGAAAGCGUGGGGAGCGAAUGGGAUUAGAUACCCUGGUAGUC